GUCCAGCAUAUAGGUAAAAGAUUUUGAAUAAAUCUGAUAUUACAAACAUAAUUACAUUAGAGGGAGGGCAGGGUUCCUUUAAUUUAUCAUAAAAAUUGUUUAAGACUUAUUUGGUUGAUGAAAAAUAGAGGGGGAUAUAGAUACUUUCUAAAAAGUGAAGAGAAGAUUUUUUAUUUGAUUAAAAUUUUAAGAGAAAAAAAAUUAAAAAAAAAUUUCAUAAAAAAUCACUUUUCACGUUUUAUGGAAAGUGGGAACCCACAGGAGAGACAGAUUUUGGUUAG
rnacentral:lncRNA from 1 species